UACGAAGGGAGCUAGCGUUGUUCGGAAUUACUGGGCGUAAAGCGCACGUAGGCGGGCAAUUAAGUCAGGGGUGAAAUCCUGAGGCUCAACCUCAGAAUUGCCUUUGAUACUGGUUUCCUAGAGGACGGGAGAGGUUGGUGGAAUUCCUAGUGUAGAGGUGAAAUGCGUAGAUAUCAUGAAGAACACCAGUGGCGAAGGCGGCCAACUGGCCAGAUUCUGACGCUGAGGUGCGAAAGCCUGGGGAGCAAACAGG
rnacentral:rRNA from 1 species